UACGUAGGGUGCGAGCGUUAAUCGGAAUUACUGGGCGUAAAGCGUGCGCAGGCGGUUUUGUAAGCCAGAUGUGAAAUCCCCGGGCUUAACCUGGGAAUGGCACUUGGGACUGCAAGGCUGGAGUGCGGCAGAGGAGACUGGAAUUCCUGGUGUAGCAGUGAAAUGCGUAGAUAUCAGGAGGAAUACCGAUGGCGAAGGCAGGUCUCUGGGCUGACACUGACGCUCAUGCACGAAAGCGUGGGGAGCAAACAGG
rnacentral:rRNA from 1 species